rnacentral:lncRNA from 1 species
UUUUGUCAUUAUAAGUUUGCUUUCAGUAGAGCAAUUCAGCUUCUAAUUGCUAAAUUAGUUGUCCUAGAACUUAACGCGCCUCAUCCCUUGAGGUCAUAAUGUAACUUAGUAUCAUAAAAAUGAAAUAUUGUAUGCACAGACUAAAGAGCAAAUGCACCAAGUGAUUUAUCUGAGAGAAGAUGACACACAAAUGUCUUGAAGAUACAGAGCAUGUCUAUACUGUAUCCUACGGAUUGUUGCUGAACAUUUCAAGCCAUGCCUGCAAACCUGGUGCCUCCCCUCAGAACUGACAGCGGUUGAAAAGUCCAGGUGCCAUUAUUUUGUGGUUCAGUGCUCCACUUGAAUUUAAUUUUCAUAAACAGAUACAACAAUUGCUUUGUGCUGAAGUAUAGCAAAGGGAUUACUUCAUGGAAUAUUGGUCACAAGUAAAUAAAAAGAGACCUAUUUAUAGAUAUUUGGGAUAA